UUCGGGGUACUCGAGCGGCGAACGGGUGAGUAACACGUGAGCAAUCUGCCCUUAGCUUCGGGAUAGCUCCGGGAAACCGGAAUUAAUACCGGAUAUGACCACGGCCGACAUCAGCUGUGGUGGAAAGAUUUAUCGGCUAAGGAUGAGCUCGCGGCCUAUCAGCUUGUUGGUGGGGUAACGGCCCACCAAGGCGACGACGGGUAGCCGGCCUGAGAGGGCGACCGGCCACACUGGGACUGAGACACGGCCCAGACUCCUACGGGAGGCAGCAGUGGGGAAUAUUGCGCAAUGGGCGAAAGCCUGACGCAGCGACGCCGCGUGCGGGAUGAAGGCCUUCGGGUUGUAAACCGCUUUCAGCAGGGACGAAGCGAAAGUGACGGUACCUGCAGAAGAAGCGCCGGCUAACUACGUGCCAGCAGCCGCGGUAACACGUAGGGCGCAAGCGUUGUCCGGAAUUAUUGGGCGUAAAGAGCUCGUAGGUGGUCCGCCGCGUCUGCUGUGAAAA
rnacentral:rRNA from 1 species